rnacentral:lncRNA from 1 species
UGGAAUUAAUACACUCAGUCUGAUACAAGCAUGUAUACUACAUGUAUGCAUGUAUACGUCAGGUCGUUGACUUUGGCCCCUUCAAUUAAAUCCUAACUUGCCAGACUUUCCAUAUAUGGCAUGGACCAUGGGGGUCGUGAGCUACCUCCCCUAAAUUUUUUCCACCUCCCCUACAUUUUUUCUACUAUUUCCACCAAAAUCUGGCCUUGGGUUGGACCUUGACCUAGCAUGACAUAGAUAAUUUUAUCACUACUCCAAGGCCCUAGCAAGUUGAUUGUUGACCACUGAGUGUGAAUCAAACCCACAACCAUUUAUCAUUAGUUUGCAAGCCCAUUUAUGAGGUCAAGUCAAUUCAAAUUAUUAAGUGAUAUUGGCU